rnacentral:rRNA from 1 species
AGUCGAGCGAACGGACGAGAAGCUUGCUUCUCUGAUGUUAGCGGCGGACGGGUGAGUAACACGUGGAUAACCUACCUAUAAGACUGGGAUAACUUCGGGAAACCGGAGCUAAUACCGGAUAAUAUUUUGAACCGCAUGGUUCAAAAGUGAAAGACGGUCUUGCUGUCACUUAUAGAUGGAUCCGCGCUGCAUUAGCUAGUUGGUAAGGUAACGGCUUACCAAGGCAACGAUGCAUAGCCGACCUGAGAGGGUGAUCGGCCACACUGGAACUGAGACACGGUCCAGACUCCUACGGGAGGCAGCAGUAGGGAAUCUUCCGCAAUGGGCGAAAGCCUGACGGAGCAACGCCGCGUGAGUGAUGAAGGUCUUCGGAUCGUAAAACUCUGUUAUUAGGGAAGAACAUAUGUGUAAGUAACUGUGCACAUCUUGACGGUACCUAAUCAGAAAGCCACGGCUAACUACGUGCCAGCAGCCGCGGUAAUACGUAGGUGGCAAGCGUUAUCCGGAAUUAUUGGGCGUAAAGCGCGCGUAGGCGGUUUUUUAAGUCUGAUGUGAAAGCCCACGGCUCAACCGUGGAGGGUCAUUGGAAACUGGAAAACUUGAGUGCAGAAGAGGAAAGUGGAAUUCCAUGUGUAGCGGUGAAAUGCGCAGAGAUAUGGAGGAACACCAGUGGCGAAGGCGACUUUCUGGUCUGUAACUGACGCUGAUGUGCGAA